CUCUGUCCCAUGCUGCAACAGUGGAUAUUGGAGGGAUAUGAGAUUAUUGGAAGAAGCAGCAACUCAGUGAGACUGGAAGACACUGGAACUGGAAAAGCAGUGAUGCAGCUGGCAUUGGAGUAGCUGAGUCAGAGGAUUAUAUAGGAAAACAAUGUGGGAACCAGCUGCUCAGACCCUGUUCUUGAACUUGAUGGACCUGAAGCCGUUUUUCGUUAGUGCAACAAAGCAAUAGGUGGAGACAAGGAUUUGAAUGCUCCAGAACAGCUGCUGAGUCAUGAAGGAGCUGAAAGAAGGCUCUCCACUCCAAGUAAAGAAGCAGAAACCAGAAGACUUCUCUCUGCCAGGACGGUCCAGUCGUGCACUUGCUGCACCUCCAUCAGAAUCAAUGGGAUUACAUUGGAAAAACUCUGUCCUCUGCUGAAGGAAAAGCUUUGCCCUGAGCAGUAACCACUGCUGGAAAACCUUCCUUUCCCACACUGGCAUCUCUCCUAUUGCUGAAGCUAAGACUGAGAAAUCAGAAUCCAAGACUGCAUAUGAUUUCACCUGGCCCACAAGGGCAAUUUUAACAGGCAGAGAUUGGGCAGAGUGAUAAAUACGCAGCCUGCUUUCUACCAGCCAUAUUCCCUUCCUUAAAAGAGCCUUUAUUUGUAUGUCUCAGAGUAGCUAUUCAAGCCUCAGAAAGGCUAUUGCAGCAGUUCGUUAGUAGGAAACCUUGAUAAUGGCUUGGGUCAGCAAAGAUACUGCAGCCAAGAAAUGAAUUUACUCAUGUUUUGCACAGUAAUGAUGAAUCCUCUAAUAAAUGCAAAAUGAUAAUUUUACUAUUGCAUGACUGUUAAGUAUCCAUUACACAGAUUAUAUUUCAGCUACGAUAGAAGUUAGAUAAUUUUGAAUUUUAGUUUCAAUUUAAAUAAUACAUACCUAUGUAAUUGAAAUAAUGUAUAAUACAACAUAACAACAUGUUCAAGUUAAUUUUGAACUUACAUGCUUAUGCCCUGGGGUCCUGACUUUUUCUGGGGAUUGGUGAGGGCAUGACAAAAUGUUCAUUAAAAAUUAUUAUGUGCAAAUCUAUCUAUCUGCUAUGUCAAACAUGAGCAAAUGGAGUGGAAAAGGAAUUUGGCUUGUAACAAUACAAGAGUGGGGGUCAUUGGAUAAGACUCUUCAACCACGCAGCCAAUGCUUCCCUGGGAAAGCCAUGUCAAAUUUAGAAUAGGGAAAACUCUUUUGUUUGAACAAAGGUGACAGUUCAGCUAAAGGCUAGUAAGGGAAAAGAACAAUGUAGUCUUACUCCAAAGUUAUAAUAAUAGUAAUGUGCAGCAGACUGUCUGGGGGACAUUGCUAAGUGCUUUGAAACACACAAGUAACUUUGGUUUAAAUUUAUAAAAUACACAUUUCAAAAACCUAUGGAAUUCAUAAUAUUUUAUGAAGCCAUUCUACAGCUUACAAUUGAUUACAAUUUUUCGUAUGAAAAUUGCAACAGAAUGUUACUGGAGUGGUGUAAUUGAAGUUAAUAACUUGCACUAAUUCUAGCUUUCACCAUUAGAUAUAGUCUCCUACUGAUGUAAAGGAGUAUGCUCAGUAAGCAAAUUUCUACAACAGAAAAAAAUCCUAAUUAACUAAUGUUUUCGCUUUUCAAAACAAUGUAAAUGCUGUCAUGUUCAGAAAAUAAAAAACCAAAUAUAUGAGAAAUAAGAAUAAUAUGCAGUGUGUCCACUAUGUAUAUUAAGGAAUUAUGA